ensembl:misc_RNA 7SK 7SK RNA
CAAUGUGAGGGCGAUCUGGCUGUUACAUCCAUCACGCCACUGAUUAACAAGGUUGAUUCGGCUGAUCUGGCUGGCUAGGUGGGUGUCCCCUUUCUCCUUCACCACUCCAUGUGCAUCCCUCCUGAAGCUGCACGCUCAGUUGAAGAGGGUGGCCUUCCCCAAAUAGAGAUGGACCGGUAUUCAGUCGAGGGUAUACGAGUAGCUGCACCCCCCUGCUAGAACCUCCAAACAAGCUAUCAAGAACAUUGUCUGGGAAGAUGUAGUCAGAGUUGGGAAUAGAACUAGAGAGCUGGAUUAGGGCAGAGCGUAGCUUCU